GUGCAAAAGAGGGAUUGGUUGCUCCCAAUAUAUUGAAUUCCAUCUCCAACUUUGUCAACUGAGUUCAUUCACUUGCAGUUGAUUUUCAUGGGUGGUACAUUG